AGAGUUUGAUCAUGGCUCAGGACGAACGCUGGCGGCGUGCUUAAACACAUGCAAGUCGAACGGUGACCUUGAGAGCUUGCUCUUGGGGGAGCAGUGGCGAACGGGUGAGUAACACGUGAGUAACCUGCCCCUGACUCUGGAAUAAGCGCUGGAAACGGCGUCUAAUACCGGAUACGAGAUGCCACCGCAUGGUGAGUGUCUGGAAAGUUUUUCGGUCUGGGAUGGACUCGCGGCCUAUCAGCUUGUUGGUGAGGUAAUGGCUCACCAAGGCGAUGACGGGUAGCCGGCCUGAGAGGGCGACCGGCCACACUGGGACUGAGACACGGCCCAGACUCCUACGGGAGGCAGCAGUGGGGAAUAUUGCACAAUGGGCGAAAGCCUGAUGCAGCGACGCCGCGUGAGGGAUGACGGCCUUCGGGUUGUAAACCUCUUUCAGCAGGGAAGAAGCGCAAGUGACGGUACCUGCAGAAGAAGCACCGGCUAACUACGUGCCAGCAGCCGCGGUAAUACGUAGGGUGCGAGCGUUGUCCGGAAUUAUUGGGCGUAAAGAGCUUGUAGGCGGUUUGUCGCGUCUGCUGUGAAAAUCCGGGGCUCAACCCCGGACUUGCAGUGGGUACGGGCAGACUAGAGCGUGGUAGGGGAGACUGGAAUUCCUGGUGUAGCGGUGAAAUGCGCAGAUAUCAGGAGGAACACCGAUGGCGAAGGCAGGUCUCUGGGCCACUACUGACGCUGAGAAGCGAAAGCAUGGGGGAGCGAACAGGAUUAGAUACCCUGGUAGUCCAUGCCGUAAACGUUGGGAACUAGGUGUGGGUCUCAUUCCACGAGAUCCGUGCCGCAGCUAACGCAUUAAGUUCCCCGCCUGGGGAGUACGGCCGCAAGGCUAAAACUCAAAGGAAUUGACGG
rnacentral:rRNA from 1 species